GGUACUACUCAGCCACGUUACCUUUGCCUUUGACCUUGCCUUGUACACCAAGUAACUUUGUCUUUGUAUCCUGCAGGUUUCCUGAACCUGAUUUUGCCUUGCAUUGAAUCCUGCCUGGAUAAACCAUCUUCUGGAAGGAAGCAAUCCAGUUCCAUGAACACAGACUCAAGUCUCUCAUAACUUCGUUGGAUCACGCCGGCUGGCAGUCUCCUGAUUCCUGCGUACCUCGGACCUCCAUCUGCAAACCCUGUCCACCCUCCUCCCUCCAUCGCACCUCGUGGAUUACAAACUCUCCUGGCUUACCAUAUCCACCAACUUCAGUCUCACCGGCAAACAACCACUUGGUUUCUCCACUCCCCCUCUGGCGGAUCCCUCCACCAUUCUUUUUUGCAUCCUGGUUCCAGUUCCCUGCAUUAUUCACCCAGUUGUAAAUGAACACUUUACCGAACAA